ACCACAAUUCCAUGGUCAAAGUGAUAUGCUCGCAUACACACGUCAAAGGAGGGAUUUUUACCGCCAAAAUCUACUUCUGAAGAUGGUGGCUUUCCACCAUUGCUUUUCGCUUCACAAAAAUCGACACAUCAGUAAUAGUUUCUUCUUUGACUGGAUUACUUGCAAUUUGAUUACCAUCUGAAGCACAAGAAGUUAGUCCUCGUGUUCUCACCUUGUAUACAUACAAAAGAUUUCUUCUUUGACCGGAUUACUUGCAUCCCGAUUACCAUCUGAUACGUACCAAGGACAGUUGGCCAGAAUGUCGGACAAAUGAAACUUGAAAAUGUAAAAUGUCAUUCUCACUGGUAAUCAGCUCAAAUAUGCAAAUGUCGCCUACUUCCAACUUAUUGUCAUGCGCGAAAGCUCUCCAGUCACAAUAAUUUA